rnacentral:rRNA from 1 species
GAAGGGACCUAGCGUAGUUCGGAAUUACUGGGCUUAAAGAGUUCGUAGGUGGUUGAAAAAGUUGGUGGUGAAAUCCCAGAGCUUAACUCUGGAACUGCCAUCAAAACUUUUCAGCUAGAGUAUGAUAGAGGAAAGCAGAAUUUCUAGUGUAGAGGUGAAAUUCGUAGAUAUUAGAAAGAAUACCAAUUGCGAAGGCAGCUUUCUGGAUCAUUACUGACACUGAGGAACGAAAGCAUGGGUAGCGAAGAGGAUUAGAUACCCUCGUAGUCCAUGCCGUAAACGAUGUGUGUUAGACGUUGGAAAUUUAUUUUCAGUGUCGCAGGGAAACCGAUAAACACACCGCCUGGGGAGUACGACCGCAAGGUUAAAACUCAAAUGAAUUGACGGGGACCCGCACAAGUAGUGGAGCAUGUGGUUUAAUUCGAAGAUACGCGCAGAACCUUACCAACACUUGACAUGUUCGUCGCGACUCUAAGAGAUUAGAGUUUUCGGUUCGGCCGGACGAAACACAGGUGCUGCAUGGCUGUCGUCAGCUCGUGUCGUGAGAUGUUGGGUUAAGUCCCGCAACGAGCGCAACCCUCACUUUUAGUUGCCAUCAUUAAGUUGGGCACUCUGAAAGAACUGCCAGUGAUAAGCUGGAGGAAGGUGGGGAUGACGUCAAGUCCUCAUGGCCCUUACGUGUUGGGCUACACACGUGCUACAAUGGCAUCUACAACAGGAAGCAAAACGGCAACGUUAAGCAAAUCCCGAAAAGAUGCCUCAGUUCGGAUUGCACUCUGCAACUCGAGUGCAUGAAGCUGGAAUUACUAGUAAUCGUGGAUCAGCGUGCCACGGUGAAUGCGUUCCCGGGUCUU